GACGAACGCUGGCGGCGUGCUUAACACAUGCAAGUCGAACGGUAAGGCCCCAGCUUGCUGGGGUACACGAGUGGCGAACGGGUGAGUAACACGUGGGUGACCUGCCCCGCACUUCGGGAUAAGCCUGGGAAACUGGGUCUAAUACCGGAUAGGACCGCACCGUGAGGGUGUGGUGGAAAGUUUUUCGGUGUGGGAUGGGCCCGCGGCCUAUCAGCUUGUUGGUGGGGUAAUGGCCUACCAAGGCGGCGACGGGUAGCCGGCCUGAGAGGGUGGCCGGCCACAUUGGGACUGAGACACGGCCCAGACUCCUACGGGAGGCAGCAGUGGGGAAUAUUGCACAAUGGGCGGAAGCCUGAUGCAGCGACGCCGCGUGGGGGAUGACGGCCUUCGGGUUGUAAACUCCUUUCACCAUCGACGAAGGUUUUCUGACGGUAGAUGGAGAAGAAGCACCGGCUAACUACGUG
rnacentral:rRNA from 1 species